CACACACACCUACACACACACAUACACACAUGCACACACACACAUACACAUGUGCACACACACCUACACACACACAUACACACAUGCACACACAUCUACACACACACAUACACACAUGCACACACGCACACACACACACACUUUCGGCCACAGUGGGUCCCACUGUGAGGAUGGAUACUGUGAGAGUUGAUUAAACGCUGGACGUUUUACUGUGUGUCAUGCAAACUGCAUAUGUAGGCCUGAAAAUCUGCACCCACUAAACAUGAGUGCUCUAGCCCCUCCCAGGGAGCAGAAUCUAGAGAGGCAACGGCCACAGAUCUUUAAGCUCCAGCACCUCCAAAGGAAACAUUAUCUUCCCCUUGCCUGUCCUUUCAUCUGUAAUAACACUCUUCUGCAGUGAUGCUGGUGCUUUUCUCCCUUAUGCAACGGGCCUGAAUUACAGCUGAACAUUUUUGUGAAAAAUAAUGUGUAUAAUUUACCACUCGGAAGCGGUGCCUUAGGAAAGACUAAAGCCGCUCCGUGGAGCAAGCUGCGUUAUUCAUCGCUCUGCGAAUCACAUGUGCAGUCAUCAGGCUCUAACGCCCGCGGUUGUCCCUGUUAUGCAAUUUGAAAUCAGUUGUUUGUCAUUAACAAAAGGAAGAGCAGUGUCAUUACGUCCCCUGUGACAACACAGCGUGCGCUUUGCAGUGUGCGCUUUGCAGUGUACGCUUUCCAGACUACACUCAGUCUCGCUGGCUUUGGCUGUGCUGUUUAUAGACGAGCGUGACCUCUGACCUUUCCCCAGAAUGCAGAAGGUAUCCACGGACCGCCCCUGGUGUUCCUGGGGCAGGUCCUUCAGAUUAGCUUGUGUCUGAGCGUCCCCUUCCUUCCAUUUUACCCUGCCAGGUCGUCACUCCCCCCCGCCCCCCCAAAAUCUCACCAGGGCACUCCACUGGUCUGAUAAAUAUUGUUCAGAUAGUUCUGCAAGAACACAGUGCUAUACAUGUCAACAACACUGGGCAAUGUUUAGGGUGGAUUUAGUUUCUCUUCCACAGAGUGAGAAAAGUAAGAUAUUAAUCUGCAAGUACAAUAAUGAAAUGGAGAAAUAUGAGAUUUUACAUCUUAAUUUGCAGGUUUAAUUUCCAAUUACUCAGGGUGGCUCAAGGAAAAAAAACAAAGAUGAGAAAUAUUUUCAGGCUGAAGCACCUUGACUGAACGAUUCUUUUAAACAAAUAUAAACAACAAGCAGCACGUUUCCUUUGAACAUACAGGGCAGAACGUAUCACACUGCUCCAGAUAUGUGUGACCAGUUUCACUCUUUGCUUAUGCAUGUAUGGCAGUGUACUAAAUGAAUCCAGACCAGGAAAGCUACAGACACUGUUUAAAAUUGGUUAAAUAUUUGUGCCUACAUAGUCACACAUUUUGCAAUAAUUAAUAUUUAAGAGAGUGAAUGGAUUGAUAAGUUGCCAAGUUCCUUUAUAUGAAUCAUAACAUCUCGACAAAGGUUUAUAUUAACAAUGAGACAUUUAAUAUAAAAGGAGAAGAAGAAAGUUCAGUUGGAACAUUUGAGUACCCAGAUUUAUAACGUUAUUUCCUAAUAUGCUGGUUUGGCGUCCCCAGACAAAUAUGGAACCAGAUAUCAAAUACAAAAUUGGAGCGAGACCAGUUUGAUUCUUGUCUUACAAAAAUAUAAAUAUAGAACCUUUACAAGGAAAGAAGGGAACAGCACAUUUGGUGAUCACAGUUUGUUUCAGAAGUAGGCACUGUUUAGGCAGAGUUACUAUGUCCUUUAAUUUAUACCAAUCUUUUUUAUCAUUGGCUUUUAAAAACAGACAAACAUACUGUGUGAGUUGAAUGUCUAUAACUGGAUCAAGGUGAAAGACUAAUUCUUGGAAAAAAAAAGUUCAAAGUUAAAAAUAUCAAAUAAUAUAGUGAAAAUUGAAGUAUUCAAAAACCAAUAAACCAAACAUAUUACAUAAGCUAUAUCAGAUAAUAAAUAAUAACCUUUUUGUUUGUUUGUUUUAAAUUAAAAGUCAACAGUUAUACAUUUUACUGCUUGGGAAAACUGCCAUGAACUGCGACUGUUAAAAAUGUUGGCUUUUUAUUUUUAAAUACUGUGUGUUCUUGAAAUAAUGCUCACGUCUUCUUGUGCAGUGGAAAUACAGUAGAAUUUUUUUUUCAAGGAAAAUGUUCUUUUCAAUUCUCUUUGUAAAACAGAAUGCCAAUUGAUCACCAAUCCAGGAUAGGAUUGGAUUAGGUGUGUGGAAGUGCGGACAAUCAGCUUGACAAGGUGAUGCUUACCGUUGCCAAGCAACACAGCACUAUUUACCUGUCAUUGCUUUGCUCUGUCGUAUGGGUCAUUGGCUGUCUUUAGGUAUAAAACUUGUAGAAGGCCCACCCAAGCAAGAGAUUGGUCAUCUAAAAAAAUGAGGUGAACAAUAAUAAUGCAGACAACAGAAAAAAACAAGCAAAAAUCUUCUUUUUAAAAAAGAAAAUCAUUUGAACAUGUAUUUCUUUUCAUUUAGCGACUACCAUAGCUGCCCAGAUAGGACACAAGCAGUAAUAGCUUCUUAGCUGAAUAAUAUACUAUGCAUUUAUGUAGCGCUUUUAUCCAAAGCGCAUUACAAUUGAUGCCUUGCCUCUCGUUCACCCAUUCACACACACACACUCACACACUAACGGUGAAAGGCUGCCAUGCAAGGUACCAAUCAGCUCGUUGGGAGCAAUUAGGGGUCAGGUGUCUUGCUCAGGGACACUUCAAAAUGCCCAGGGCGGGGGAUCGAAUCGGCAUCCCUCCGACUGCCAGACAAACGCUCUUACCUCCUGAGCUAUGUCGCCCCUGUAAUAACAUAACAUAACCUAAUGACAAGAACAAGCCAUUCAGCCCAAAAAUACUCACCAUUUUCUGACUAAAUUUGUGCUCUGAUUACCUACAGACUAGAUAAUAUCUAACAACUUAAUAAUUGUCCAUUAUUGUAAGAUGGUCUUUACAGUUACACAAAAAUUCUGGGCUUUCCUCUUCCUGUUUGUAUACAGUGUUUUAUUCUAAUGUGCGAUCCAUUAUUUUUAAGUUCAGCUCAAGUGUCUUUGAAGCGGUCAGUGAAUCAUUUUCACAUUUUCCCCACGGUGACACAAAUUUUUUUUUAUUAAAAAUCGUUAUUAUUUAUUAUUUAUUCCUUCUGUAAAACAUUUUCCCACUGAAAAUUACCGCAUGACAAACAAUAGUAAAAGAAAAUGUUGUCUAACUGCAAAUGUCUGUCUCAGCAUAGGUGGGCUGUACCUGCCAUGUACCUGGCAUCACGUCCCAGGUGUGACAUGGACCUGUGCGGACCAAUCAAAAUAGAGUGCCAGUCUCACAAAUAUGCUUCAUUUUGUCUUUUACGUAUGACACCUGACUUGGAAGGGACCAGAUGUGCCAGUAUGCAAUAUGUAGUUAUCCAGCCUGUAAUGACCAGUAUCAGCUAAUUUUUCUCCAUGUCGUAGGGUGCAGCAAACAAGAACUUUUUUAAAAUGCUGAUUAGUGUUUUAAAGUUGGAGUACUGUACAUUUCUGUGCAAAAUGUAAUGCAUAACAUUGAUGUGUGUACAUCUUACACUGCAAACACCAAGCAAACUGCGAAACUGAUAUGCUUUUCUGUUCGGCCCUAGCCGGUCGGUCUGUGUCACACUUACAUGACAUUUCAUUUUAUUUGGCAGAUGCUUUUAUCCAAAGCGACGUACAAUGAGUGCACUCGUGCAUGAUAAUGGGCAGCCUGUCUUGUCCUAAUUUCAUGCAAUGAACUGAAUCAGUCAGACAAUGAAAUUCAUGAAAAAGGUCGUGUGAGAAACACCUGAAUAGCAAUACUGCCAUAAACAUUUCAUAUUAAAAAGCAGCAGCGGUUUUAUCCGCGCGCCGUAAAAGUGCUCCUUAUAUUGAUUUCAAUUAUAUCAUUUAUAACUAGUACGUGACACAAUCAUACACAAUUCAUUUUACGCGUUGUUUUGUUUGCUUUUCUUCUCUUGGUGAACGCAGCUCAGCAAGUUCAAAGGUCAGAAAUUUAACGUGAUUGUUUCAUUUGAUUCAUCGCGGCCGCAAAAAGGUAGCACCUGACUUUAUUCAUAUAUAAAAGAGACAUGUUUUUUGGUUCCCAGGGAAGAAUUAAGCUCUUCUAUUCUAUUCUAUUCUAUUGAACCAAAGGGUGAAUUUAGCCAACUCUUGACCAGCCACCAACAAUAGCUACAGCAGUCUUGUUUGUGAUAUGGUCACGUGACGCAGUGACAUUACGAGUUCUCCCCUCGCCCUCUGACGCAUGGUAUUCCCUGGAAUGUCGUGAUGCAGGGAGACCUGGGAGGAACGCCGUUCCGUUCCACCGCACCCACAAGCAGUUCCACGGCGCCCUGACCCCAAACCCGCAUUUGCACAUUGAGUGCAGUGGCGUGAGGAAGAUGAGCGGCUUCAUCACGAGAAGCAAUUCUGCGCGACAUCAUCUAGCUCGCUCCCACGACCUCGACUGCAUAACUUCAGUGGCCUACUGAAGUCAAGAUGCUAUCCGGAGAGCUCUAAUCUGUCUUUAUCGCCAUGCCAACGACAUAAACAAAAUAGGGGAAAAACCACCUUGGGGAACGAGGUUUUAUUUGAUAUAUUCUUCGCUGAUACAGUGCUCCCUGUUAUUCCCCCCCCCCAAAAUAGCUGUGGUGAGGCUGUAGGCAAUGCACUGUGCGGCUGAUCGCUAAUAGAAUCAGCUGCUGACGGACAGGUACAGAGAUGUGGGUGAUGCGUACAGAGGAUACCAUAAGGCGCCGCUUGCCUCCCCGGUCUUCCCCAAGCCCACGCGUCCCGUCCCCCGUCCCGUCCCCCGUCCCCCCCCGGAGAAAUUUCUCCUCCAGUCGAGGCAGUUUUCCAGCUGCUGGAAUGCUGGGCAGAGAAGCUACAUUCACCCGGAUGUUAUGACAGAGGAACCGGACUGUCACAGUGUCAGCGACUCAACACUGUGUGAGUGAGACAACAUGGGCUCUGACAAGGUCCCUGACCCGACAGCUUCGCUGACAAAGGGGGCAGAAAUCUAACGGACAGCUGGAGCCGCCUGACCGGUUAUAAAAUAAGCCCCUGAACAGUGUUCCUAGCACCCAGCUGCUGCGCUGUAUGACUGAGUGCCAGCUGUUGUGCCAUAGGGCUAGGCUGGGGUAGGGGAUACAUGGGCCAUACACUGCAGAGGGCUUAAUCCUCCCAGUAAUUACGUCCCAUGCACAUAUUUGUUAAUAUACCCAACAAUGAUACGUUUUUUAUUGAGAAAAGGAAACUAUGAACUACAUCAAGACAACAUUCGGAGGUAUCUAGUCCUGUUGGACCACAUCAGCUUGUUUUAAUUGACUUUCGUACAGAAUAUACAUCUGCCCCUUGGCAAAGUUUGCCUGUUGUACUUCCUUCGCUUAUGCUGCACACGACAGCUGUUAACACAGCUGGCUUGCAGUUUUAAUUCAGUGUCUCACUCUCACAUAUUAUCAGUCAAACGAGCAUGAGAACUGCAAGAGAAAAUUAUGAAAACAAGAUGGCCGAGCUAUCAUUUAUGUCUAUGCAUGUAUGUUUUUAUUUAUGUCUAUGAAUACGUGCGGUCAUUGUGGAUCUGCUUCCACACUGAAAAUCUUAUCCAAUUAGUUCUAGGCAAGUUAGUAUUAAAUCUAUUGUCACCUGCUGUGGUCAGCAAAUCAUAGCUGUAGUUUGCCUGUGUUCUGUUGCUUCUUAGUAUAAUGCAAAUGUACCUUUCUGCACUGUUCCUUUAAGAGUCCUUGUGAAUGAAAAUAAUUUCCACAGAUUAUUAGUUCACUUCCUCAGAAAAGUAUACAAAAGCUAUGGCUGCAUCGACGGAUCGUCAAAGAUGAGCUUUUGUUAAAGGGGAUUGCUAUAUUGAUUUUAAAAUGUUAUAUUGUUGUAUUGAUUUUAAAGUGUACAGUGAAAUAAAAUUUCACUCUCUAUAUCUUAGUUGAACGAUGUACACAAAGCACUCGGGUAUUCUUCUCUUACCUGAGCUCUUAUAUUAUCUAAAUAUAUUGCCUGAUGUCUUUUUUUGUGGUUAGCUGCUGGUCCCACCAAAUUUUUUUCACACAUGCCCAAAUCUACUUCCCAUCACCAUGGUGACAACUCCCUUCCUAUCCGGUUUGACUGUGUGUGUUUCUGUGUGUGUGUGUAUGUGUGUGUGUGUGUGUGUGUGCGUGCGUGUGGGAGUGUGUGUGUUUGUGCAUGUAUGUGUCUGUGUGUGUGUCUGUUUGUGUAUGUAUGCGUCUGCGUGUGUUAGUGUGUGUGUGUGUGCAUGCGCAAGCAAAUAAAAGACAGAGGCGGAAGGAAAGGGUGUGAAAGUGACUGUAGCGCACAAAGAGAGAUCAAUCUUCAGCUCUCUGACAAGAUCAUUUAGCACAGCGGUGCAUAACUCCGGUCCUGCAGGGCCGGUCUGCGUGUGGGUUUUUGUACCAACCAAUUAUAUUUAUUUUAGUUUUCUGACGGCUCUGUAGACGACACUGGCUCACUCCCGUUCUUGAGCACAGUAAAGUCAGUAAAGACACUUUUGCAGCUGUAGCUUGUGCUUUCAGAAAAACCUCAGGUCAAGAUAUGACCUGAUACUGAGAUACUGAGAUAAUUAAAAAAUGAAAAGCACAAGUUGGCACAAAAUCCUGAAAUGGAUCGACCCAUGUUGUGCACCACUGGCUUAGCAGACUCUGAAGUGGACUGCCCUUGAAGAAAAAAAAAACGAAACACAACACUAAAUCUUACAGGCUGUGCCCAUGAAUGUCAGCAGUGCAGCUCCAGUCUGCCAGAAGGUCAACACAGAAAAAAAGUCUGUCUCACAGUAAGAAGUGUCUUAGUCUUGUAAUGAGAUUUAAAAUAAUUUUUCUUCUAACAUAGAAAAUAUUAGCUUGUUUUUUUUGCUACUUUUUGUUACAUUUGCAUUUUCUAACCCCGUUGGCAAAUCUUGAAAUGAGUCUAACUAUCUCCCCUCCUCAGCAAUCUUUUGUCUUAUUUAGCAAGAAAAGUCUAAAUAUGUGAUACCUUAAAAUAUAUUUACCUAAAUAUACCUUAAAAUACUUGUUAAGGUUGACUUAUUUUUUGGUUUUUGCAGUGAAUGAAGAGGUGACAUGGAAUAGAAUUAAGGACGGAAAGAGUUUUGGGAUUUAACGUAUUCCCUCUUACAGGGAGUUUCAUCACGUUGUCAUGAAAAUAUUCAACAAGUACCCGACCCGAACGGAGAGAAAAUAAAUUGAUAUGGAUGCGAGAACCUGUCUGAACAGCCUGUCUGCAGAACCCGGGGAUUUGAUUUGGCAAAAGAGGCAGCCCUUUAAGUGUACCCAAUUACGGUUGAUCAGUGAUUCACAUUCAGACCUUUCGCAAAACCGCAUUUCGCACAUUAAGCUGGAGAGCCUCAGGGUGUGAGCGUCAUGGACGCCAGGAAACGGUCCCUUUUAAAUACACACUCCCCGUUUCUUUAUGUAUGAAAAUAAAGGAACGUCUUUGA